rnacentral:rRNA from 1 species
GAUGAACGCUGGCGGCGUGCUUAACACAUGCAAGUCGAACGGGAAACCUUUUAUUGAAGCUUCGGCAGAUUUAGCUGGUUUCUAGUGGCGGACGGGUGAGUAACGCGUGGGUAACCUGCCUUAUACAGGGGGAUAACAACCAGAAAUGGUUGCUAAUACCGCAUAAGCGCACAGGACCGCAUGGUCCGGUGUGAAAAACUCCGGUGGUAUAAGAUGGACCCGCGUUGGAUUAGCUAGUUGGCAGGGUAACGGCCUACCAAGGCGACGAUCCAUAGCCGGCCUGAGAGGGUGAACGGCCACAUUGGGACUGAGACACGGCCCAGACUCCUACGGGAGGCAGCAGUGGGGAAUAUUGCACAAUGGGGGAAACCCUGAUGCAGCGACGCCGCGUGAAGGAAGAAGUAUCUCGGUAUGUAAACUUCUAUCAGCAGGGAAGUUAGUGACGGUACCUGACUAAGAAGCCCCGGCUAACUACGUG